CCCUUAGAUGUUCUGGGCCGCACACGCGCUACACUGAAGGAGGCAGCGUGUACUCCUGGAUCGAAAGAUUUGGGUAACCCGCGAAUCUCCUUCGUGCUAGGGAUUGAGGUUUGCAAUUAUCCUUCAUGAACGAGGAAUUCCCAGUAAGUGCAAGUCAUAAGCUUGCGCUGACUACGUCCCUGCCCUUUGUACACACCGCCCGUCGCUACUACCGAUUGAAUGAUUUAGUGAGGACUUCGGACUGGGACCGAUGCGGCUUUCGGGCUGCGUCGGUAUUCUGGAAAGAUGUCCAAACUGUAUCAUUUAGAGGAAGUAAAAGUUGUAACA
rnacentral:rRNA from 1 species